rnacentral:rRNA from 1 species
UCUAGAGAUAGAGAGAUAGCUAUAGGGGAUACAGGUGGUGCAUGGUUGUCGUCAGCUCGUGUCGUGAGAUGUUGGGUUAAGUCCCGCAACGAGCGCAACCCUUGUCGCUAGUUACCAUCAUUAAGUUGGGGACUCUAGCGAGACUGCCUCUGCAAGGAGGAGGAAGGCGGGGAUGACGUCAAAUCAUCAUGCCCCUUAUGACCUGGGCUACACACGUGCUACAAUGGACGGAUCAAAGGGAAGCGAAGCCGCGAGGUGGAGCGAAACCCAAAAACCCGUUCUCAGUUCGGACUGCAGUCUGCAACUCGACUGCACGAAGUUGGAAUCGCUAGUAAUCGCGAAUCAGAAUGUCGCGGUGAAUACGUUCUCGGGCCUUGUACACACCGCCCGUCACACCAUGAGAGUUGGUAACACCCGAAGCCGGUGGCUUAACCGCAAGGAGAGAGCUGUCUAAGGUGGGACUGAUGAUUAGGGUGAAGUCGUAACAAGGUAUCCCUACGGGAACGUGCGGUUGGAUCACCUC